rnacentral:lncRNA from 1 species
GUCAAUGUUAACCAUAUUAAAUUAUGAUAGUAAUUAUGAUAGUAAUGGUCCAGGGUGACAUAUAACCUUUGGUGUUGUCUUCCAAAUCGUUCACUCAUGGACUCAGGGCCACUCUUCUAUCCUGAUUAUCAAUAACGCAUCAAUAACAGUUCAUCCCUGGGGUUUUCGGUUUGCCGACAAACUCCUCAUGUCCACAGUGCAAAAGCCACACUGCAGGCAUACAAUAGGCAUUGUAAAAAGCUCGUAUUGGUACCGUUGGUAGCACCACAACACCCUCAGUGUCCUGAUCAUUGCUGCGCUAAAAGUGUUUGGAAGUUGGAAGUAUUUCUCCCUCGAACAUGGUGCGCGCGGACAUGCUGCCGAUGAUGGUGUUGGUGUCGGCAAUGCAGUUGGGCGUCCGAACAAUUUUGCGAUUGUGCAUGCCUCUUUGGCCUGAGAAAAGGUGCUAAAGCGGCUGUAAAGGCAAAACCUGGAUCACAACCUGAUGGCCGUUGCCGCCGAUGGCUGCUUUACGAGCUGACGCCUCGCAGAGAUAUCCCGUCCUGUACGACUUCCAUUAUUUAAGAAACAGAAUGUGGACAUUGCCUUCGCGUCCAUAUACACAAUCGGGUAUAAUUGGGAGAAUUAGUUCCGAACCAUUGACGAGGUCAAUCCACCGGACAAUGUAAACGCCGUUCACGUUUAGGAACUCCAGCAAAUUCAGGAUGUAGUGCGAUGAAAGUUGGCUAUGGAUGAAUUUCCAUUCAACCUGAGGCAGCUGGAAUCUUUCGGAGAAUCUUUAAGUCUCAACAUGCUGCAGCUAUUCAGGAUUAUAAAUAAAACAUCCAGCCGUAAAACUAUUCAGCUGGGUGCUGGGCAUCUUGGUGAGCUUGACGGACCACAAGGACUUGCGUUAAGUUGUUGGUUCAAGAUUCCUUAGCAUUAGAUUUGUAAUUUUGUAACUAAAACUAAAUUGGUGUGCGUUGGCAUAACACAAAAAAUCAUUGCAUCAAAAGAACUUUGAACAACGCCAUACCGCACCGAAACGAUUCUCCAGACCAACCUCAAUGUACAUACAUAUGCACAUGUAUGAACACAUGCACAUGUAUGAACAUAUGUAUGUACAUAUAUACUGACGUUACGAAUAUAAAAGUAGUGACGCGUAGGAACACGACUCACAAAGUUCCUUCUUGCUCAUUAUUCAAUGCUCAAGGAACCAAAGAGGGGCAACAGUUGGACACCAAGAAUAUGGACGAGUCCCAUUCUGAGACGUUGGACAUCGAGGCGCUGUGUCCGGCUCCAUAAGUAUAACUUGUCGCGGUCCCCUAGGACCGAAACAGGAUGGUCGAGGAGGACUUAGGUCGACAUAAAAUCUUCUCAUCUGAUUGCAGAGCUUCCGUGUUAGUGUAAUUAUUAUUUAUAAGGGUUUUUAACUAUUGUAUUUGACUACAUACAUACAGGUAUAGAAGUAAUGGAGAUCGUGAGUCAUUGGAUUCGUUAAGUAUUUUUUAUACCCGGUACUCGAAGAGUAAAUAGGGUAUAUUGUAUUUGUGCGAAUAACGGUUGUAUGUAACGCACAGAAGGAAACGUUUCCGACCCCAUAAAGUAUAUAUAUAUUCUUAAUGAGCAUCAAUCGCCGAGUCGAUAUAGCCAUGUCUGUCUGUCCGUCUCUCCGUCUUGUUGUCGGCUACUUCUCAGAGACUAUAAGAGCUAGAGCCACCAAAUGUUGCAUCCAGAUUGCUGUAUGCUCACACUGAAACCAGUGUAUUUAAAAAAUUAGCCCCGC